GCAAAGCGAAACUGCGAAUGGCUCAAUAAAUCAGUUAUGGUUCAUUUGAUCGUUGCCUUUGCCCUCGCGGGCCGAGGCUACUUGGAUAACUGUGGCAAUUCUAGAGCUAAUACAUGCGAACCUCGCGGCGCCGCUCUCUCGGGGGUCACGCCGCGCGCUUUUAUUAGGAACAAGGCCAGCCUCGUGUGCGUCUUGGCGAACUCUGGAUAACUCUGCCGAUCGCACGGUCCAUUCUGCACCGGCGACGAAUCAUUCAAGUGUCUGCCCUAUCAACUGUCGAUGGUAGGUUACGCGCCUACCAUGGUUUUAACGGGUGACGGGGAAUCGGGGUUCGAUUCCGGAGAGGGAGCCUGAGAAACGGCUACCACAUCCAAGGAAGGCAGCAGGCGCGCAAAUUACCCAUUCCGACACGGGGAGGUAGUGACGAAAAAUACCGAUGAGGGACUCUUUCGAGCUCUCUCAAUCGGAAUGAGCACAGCCUAAAUCCUUUAGCGAGGAUCUAUUGGAGGGNAAGUCUGGUGCCAGCAGCCGCGGUAAUUCCAGCUCCAAUAGCGUAUACUAAAGUUGUUGCAGUUAAAAAGCUCGUAGUUGGAUCUCGGCGCCGAGCCGGUGGUAGCAUGGAAUAAUGGAAUAGGACCUCGGUUCUAUUGCGUUGGUUAUUGGAACACGAGGUAAUGAUUGAGAGGGACUGACGGGGGCAUUCGUAUUGCGGCGUCAGAGGUGAAAUUCUUGGAUCGCCGCAAGACGGACUGCUGCGAAAGCGUUUGCCAAGAAUGUUUUCGUUAAUCAAGAACGAAAGUUAGAGGUUCGAAGACGAUCAGAUACCGUCGUAGUUCUAACCGUAAACGAUGCCGACCGGCGAUCCGCCGGGUUCCGGGGGAAGUAUGGUUGCAAAGCUGAAACUUAAAGGAAUUGACGGAAGGGCACCACCAGGAGUGGAGCCUGCGGCUUAAUUUGACUCAACACGGGAAAACUCACCCGGCCCGGGCACGGCGAGGAUUGACAGAUCGAGAGCUCUUUCUUGAUUCCGUGGGUGGUGGUGCAUGGCCGUUCUUAGUUGGUGGAGCGAUUUGUCUGGUUAAUUCCGAUAACGAACGAGACUCUGGCUUGCUAAAUAGUACUUCUUAGAGGGACAAUGGCGCUCAGCCACGCGAAAUGGAGCAAUAACAGGUCUGUGAUGCCCUUAGAUGUCCGGGGCCGCACGCGCGCUACACUAGAAAAAUCAACAAGUACCUCCUCGGCCGACAGGUCCGGGUAACCCGUGAACCUCUUUCGUGCUUGGGACAGGGAUUUGCAAUUGUCUCCCUCGAACGAGGAAUUCCCAGUAAGCGCGAGUCAUAAGCUCGCGUUGAUUACGUCCCUGCCCUUUGACACACCGCCCGUCGCUCCUACCGAUUGAAUGAUCCGGUGAAGUUUCGGA
rnacentral:rRNA from 1 species